AUGUCAAAUCAUCAUGCCCCUUAUGUCUUGGGCUACACACGUGCUACAAUGGCGCUUACAAAGGGAAGCAAAGCAGUGAUGCGGAGCAAAUCCCAAAAAGGCGCCUCAGUUCGGAUUGUAGGCUGCAACUCGCCUACAUGAAGUUGGAAUCGCUAGUAAUCGUAAAUCAGCAUGUUACGGUGAAUACGUUCCCGGGCCUU
rnacentral:rRNA from 1 species